AUCUGCAGCCUUCUCGAGAACCUUGACAGAUCCAAGCACCAGCUCACCAUAGUCACUAGUGGAGAUCCUGUGACCCUUGUAGUACCAUCAGCCACUCAGCAUUGUCAGGGAUCCGGUGCCAGCUGAGCAACUUAAAGAUGAAUGGGAACGCUGACAGACCAUGCUCUUCAGGAGUAUAAAAGUGUCAGAAUGUGCAGAACACAGGAAAAGUCCUUUCGUUGAUCACUACACACAGUGUGCUUUGGACGGGAGUGGUGUUUUUGAAACUCCACGGCAAACGAGGAAAGUUUCAGCUCAUGUUAUCAUGUGCGUGAGUAUGCUGGUAUUACACCUGUAAAAUGAUUCAGCUCAUAUGUAUACAAUAAUUUAAGAAAUCAAUGUAGUUUUUUUCACCGUCAUACUGUCAAUUACUUUAAUUUCACCCUGAUUUUCUUUUGAAACACUAUCAGAAAAAUAUGCCUGAACUGAUUAUAUGCAGUGAAGUAUAUUUACAUUUCUCAUAUUUGAAAUCACCAUGUUUUCAUUGAAAAAAAAUUACAGUGUACUUUUUUUUUUUCUAAAUAACAACAACACAUACAUAGAUAUAUAUAAAAAGGACCAUAAAAAUAUUGGAGUCCUCUCCCUCUGUAUUGCCCAAAAAUAGGUCAUUAUGAUCAACAAUGAGACUUCACAAUUAAAAACAGCUACUAAGAUUCAGUUGUUCUCUUUUUUUCCAAUAGAUGAAUGGCAUGGUGUCUUUCAGCACAGUGCCUGUCCAUGUGCAAAAAAAAAUUUAACUCAAAAGAAUUGUGACAAAAUAAUUCACUCAUCUAUAUAUGUUUUCCUAAAAGCCAGAGUCAUUUAAAAAGCAUACAGAAAGAAAAAAAUGGGAAGGAGUCCUGCAGUGACAAAGGAGGGAUUACAGUUACAGCAGUUGUGAUGUUUGUUUUUCUGAGAUGAUCGUAUUUUUCUUGUCCUCUAUGUUUGGUCCCCCUCCCCUCUGUCCAUUCACCAAUCACAACCUGUAGUGCUUGAAGUCUUUGACAUCAACUGUACACAAAACAAUUUGACUCCGGCCAUUUUACCAGGGCCUCCCGAUGAACCCUGGUGAAUCAAAACAGAUAUGAGUAACAUUAAAGAACGA